UAGCCUGCAUGAUAAAUGUCCACAGGGGCAACGUCCUAAACAGUAGCCUGCAUGAUAAAUGUCCACAGGGGCAACGUCCUAAACAGUAGCCUCCAUGAUAAAUGUCCACAGGGGCAACGUCCUAAACAGUAGCCUGCAUGAUAAAUGUCCACAGGGGCAACGUCCUAAACAGUAGCCUGCAUGAUAAAUGUCCACAGGAGCAACGUCCUAAACAGUAGCCUGCAUGAUAAAUGUCCACAGGAGCAACGUCCUAAACAGUAGCCUGCAUGCAUUUCAAAACAAAAACUUUAAUGCAUGGGGCUAAGAUGGACGCUGAGUCCAAGGUGGAGGGGGCAGUUGACCAAUGGGGUCCCUCCAGGGAGUAUUACAUCUCCUCGUGAGGGACAUUUCCUCGUAUGCCACUUGAUGUCCAUGGUAAGCCUUCUCGUUUCUUUUUACCCGUAUUAAGGUCUGAUUUUCAUUGUCAAAUACAGAAUUUUAGCCAAAACAUUUUGUGAAGAGGUUUUUUCAAGUGCUUUGUCCAGGGCAAUAUAUAAUAGGGAUAGUAAAGCUGGCACACAUUUGAAAUAAUAUUUUUAGCAUCACAUGAGGGCCUGUAUGGAACCAUUGGGAAAAUGAUCAGUGUGUGUGUGGUCCUUGGAGGGGUUGGGCCACACUUCUUCUCUGAGCGACUCUUCGCAGCAGUGUGUGGGACGCCUGCUCCUCCACUCAGUCUGGAGGAGGUGAGCCACACUACUCUGAAAGCAUAUUGGAAAAUGUGAGUUUUAUAUCCUCCCUAACAUCAACAGGAAAUAAUAGAUCAUCAUUUUUUACAUGUAUGGUUUCUUUUGAUGUUUUUAAAAUUCUCGAUUGCCUGUCAUACAUUUUUUUUAAAUUCUAGAUCAAAAAAGCAGAGGACCUAUCCGAGGUGAAGAACAAAUUGGAGGAAUCGGUAGACUGGCUGAGCCUACUGGGGCUGAAAAGGAUUGUUGUCAAGACAAUGGAGGACAGGGAUGGUGUGAUUGAAUUGGUGGCUCAACAAUUUGUCCGAGGGAGCAUGCAGGUGGCCUUGGAGCAGCAUUGGGGAACGACCCGGACAGCUUCCGAGUACUCUUUGUUGACCCCAUAAAGCCUCACUGCCAAGGACCUGAUGGACCUGUUUAAAGUAACCUAUUCCAUACCUGGCGGCAACCGGCGGUGGUUGGAGAACGACACCAUCUGCCACUGGUUCAACUGGCUGGCUGAGGUGCAAGAUGGAGAAUGUCCUCCUCUAACAGUGAUGAUGGUGUUGGAGUUUACUACUGGGGCAACGGGGGUGCCACCCCUGGGGUUUGAGGUCACCCCGACAAUCGAAUUCCUCCACACAGCGCGAGGGCGUCUCGCUGGGCAGCAGAAGAAAAAGUACCCAGAGGCAAACGUGUGUGCUGUCACACUAAGGCUCCCUCUUCAUAGCACCUACAAUGCCUUUAGAGAAUUCAUGACCUCCGGUAUUGUGAAUUCCCCGCAUUUCGAUGUUGCAUAAAAACAUUUUUAUGAUACCGAAUGUAUAGAAUUGUAUCCAGUAGCACUACACUAACAAUUGAGUGUUUCAAAAUGUAACUGCACAUCAACAUUUUAAGCAUUUAUCUACUGAUAGGUUUGGAUUUCUGAGCUUUAACUGGGAUUAAUCAUUAGUUAUAGGAUUAAUCAUUAGUUAUAUGAUUAAUCAUUAGUUAUAGGAUUAAUCAAUAGUUAUAGGAUUAAUCAUUAGUUAUAGGAUUAGGCUUCCUGCUUUUCUCAGGUUUUUGCCUGGCAUAUGAGUUCUGUUAUACUCACAGACAUCAUUCAAACAGUUUUAGAAACUUCAGAGUGUUUUCUACCCAGAUCUACUAAUAAUAUGCAUAUAUUAGCAACUGGGCCUGAGUAGCAGACAGUUUACUCUGGGCACCUUAUUCAUCCAAGCUACUCAAUACUGCCCCCAGCCAUAACAGGUUAUAGGAAUAAUCAUUAGUUAUAGGAAUAGGCUUCCUGCCUAGCAAUAACAUGCUAUGUUUAGCAAUAAGCAGGAGACUCCACCCAAAGUGGGGUAUGUAUACUACCACAGGUGAAACCAUGUCUUGGUCAGCUGUUCGAUCCUUUGGGAUGAAUAAACUUGGUUUAAGCUUUCAUAGUGUCUGUCGAGUUCUUACUAGAACCUAACGCUACUUACCGUCUAUGCAUACCACCCUGCAUACCACUGCUGGCUUGCUUCAGAAGCUAAGCAAGGUUGAUCCUGGUCAGUCCCUGGAUGGGAGACCAGAUGCUGC